ensembl:snRNA U6 spliceosomal RNA
GUGCUCACUUUGGCAGCACAUACACUAAAACUGGAACGAUAGAGACGAUUAGCAUGGCCAAUAUAGCAAGGAUGACAUGCAAAUUUGUGAAGUGUUCCAUAUUUUU